GCGUCUCGCUUAUGGUUACCGUCGCAGUUAGCCAAACAGCUCCUGUUUAUCCUCCUGAAGUCGUCUUUAAUAGCGUGUAUACCUCUACAGAUUUGACAGAAAACACAUCAGAUAUGUUCAGCGACGGCUGCACGUCAAAUAUUGUCAGUGAGAUUGUGGAUCAAUGAGCUCCAGAAAGACUCUGAAGAUGGGUGAGGAUCUGGCAAGUGAAAGUGAUCUGCUGUCAAUGAUCAGCGAGUAUCUGAGGUUUGCUGAGCUUGAAGAGACUGCCAGAGUGUUUGAAAAGGAACUCAAGUGCAAAGGCAAACCUGUGGUCAGAAGUGCAGGGCACUCCCGGCCAGACUCCAAAACCCUCGGCGUUC